CAGGAUGAACGCUGGCGGCGUGCCUAACACAUGCAAGUCGAGCGGAGAUAAGUGAAGCCUAGCGAUUCUUAUCUUAGCGGCGGAUGGGUGAGUAACACGUGGGUAACCUGCCCUGUACUGGGGAAUAACAGCUGGAAACGGCUGUUAAUGCCGCAUAUGCGCACGGAGCCGCAUGGCCCUGGGCGGAAAGAUUUAUCGGUACAGGAUGGGCCCGCGCCGGAUUAACUAGUUGGCGGGGUAACGGCCCACCAAAGUGAUGAUCCGUAGCCGACCUGAGAGGGUGACCGGCCACAUUGGGACUGAGACACGGCCCAAACUCCUACGGGAGGCAGCAGUGGGGGAUAUUGCACAAUGGGGGAAACCCUGAAUGCAGCGACGCCGCGUGAAGGAUGACGUAUUUCGGUAUGUAAACUUCUAUCAGCGGGGAAGAAGAUGACGGUACCCGACUAAGAAGCCCCGGCUAACUACGUGCCAGCCGCUGC
rnacentral:rRNA from 1 species